rnacentral:rRNA from 1 species
GUGUCAGCAGCCGCGGUAAUACGAAGGGGACUAGCGUUGUUCGGAUUUACUGGGCGUAAAGCGCGCGUAGGCGGAUAUUUAAGUCAGGGGUGAAAUCCCAGGGCUCAACCCUGGAACUGCCUUUGAUACUGGAUGUCUGGAGAUCGGGAGAGGUUGGUGGAAUUCCGAGUGUAGAGGUGAAAUUCGUAGAUAUUCGGAGGAACACCAGAAGCGAAGGCGGCCAACUGGCCCGAUACUGACGCUGAGGCGCGAAAGCGUGGGGAGCAAACAGGAUUAGAAACCCUAGUAGUCC